AGAAGGUGCCUCAGGCUGAGAUGUGUCAUAGGAGGUUUACUCCACUUCCUCCAACAGUGUUGUAUCAUCAAAAUCCAAGCACAGAGACAGUAAACUGCCCCAAGUCCAUUUACGCUUGAAGUAAAGUCCCAGGAUGCUACGGCAAGGGCAUGGUGGGCACUGCCAGCUGAUGUAAAUGCAUGGUGUGCUUGAGGAGCUCCUAUCUGAUCUUGCAUCCAGAGCUGUGAGGGGAGAGCAACUAGCUGCUGAGCUCCAAGGUGAAGAAGACACAAAGAUUCAUUUCAAUGCUGAGAGUUAAGGCUGUUUCUUCUGGAGAAGAGAAGACUCUGGAGAGGCUUCAUAGUAAAGCACCUUGUUUCAUUCAGACACUGGCACCUCUGAAGGACUCCUUGCUGCAUAUAUUCCAACAUGGUUGAGAUAAAACACUGGACUUGCUGCCAUAAAGCAGGCUUUAUUUCAGCUCAAACAAGCUCCACAGUUGUAGCCCUUCUCACAACUCCCUGCCAUUGUCUGUGUCCUUCUUCAAUCUUUUUCUAGUGUGAGCCCAGACUGGCCACAAGAGAUGGCCUGAAAGGGAUGGUCCUUUGCAAUUCCUUGAAAUACCAGGACCGGAGAGGUAGCAGCACGUUAUGCUUGAGCCCCAAGUGCUUCAGGGAGCAUUUUGGACAUCUGUAUGUGUAGGGUCUGGCUUCAGAAAUUUUUGUAACUACUCUCAUUCUUAUAUUUCUUUGUCUUUAUUUAAUCAGUUUACUGGAUGAAUUAAUAUUAAAAAAAAUGCAGAUAGGCAAGAGGUUAACACAGAAGAAUGUCCUUUCUUCAUAUUGAACAGACCAGGCCAGAGAAAUGGAAGAGUAUUCUCAUUUAAAAUACUAUGAAUAUUUCUAAAUUUCAACAUACAGAUGGUAGAAAGUGACUGUAUAGUACACAGUUUAAUCUCUGAAAGAUCCAGAAUGACACCCUACAUUUCUGCACAAAUUUAAUGGCAAUGCUGACAUUACAGGCUUUCCAGUGUGGGUAUCCAGUGCUGGCACCAAGCAAUCUGUACCACCCUGUCCCUUUUUGAACACUUC